AAAGAAGAUGGAUGACGCUGCAUACCCAGAGGACGGUUUUCCAAUUACAUUUUCCCGAUAAAUAUUCCUAACAAAGCAGCAGGCAGACUGGAUUCUCUCAGCUUUGGUGCGGAUCCGCCACGAGCAAUGAAAAUCACGAUGUGAACUGAGACACCAAGAGGUAAAGGCCACUGAAAGAAACUGAAAAAUUAGAGGCCUCUUUCUUAGGACUGACGAAUGAAGAUGAGAGCUUAAUGGUGAACAGGAUGGCUGCAGAUCGCUGAGCAGAACCCUCUGUCUGAAGUGGAUUCAGAAAACAAGCUGAGCGGGGAUCGUGACCACAAGCUGACUGCCUGGGUGUGAAGUGAGGACAAGAGCUACCUUAAAGUGUUGAGCAUGUUCUUGCUCUUUUCCACCUUGACGGCUUGACUGCUCCUCAUACUCACGAGCUUCAUCCAGUGAGAGGAGGCCUUUGCUGGCUCCUGUGUCAUGAGGAGGAGAGGUCUGGGGUGAGGCACAAGUGGAUUCUUGUGUAAUAACAGUAGCAGCCAAACAACAUGAUUCUGAAGAUACAAUGAAAUAACUUUGUUGACUGGAGAGUGUUAUAUAAA
rnacentral:lncRNA from 1 species